rnacentral:rRNA from 1 species
AUUGAACGCUGGCGGCAGGCCUAACACAUGCAAGUCGAGCGAGCGGCGGACGGGUGAGUAAUGUCUGGGAAACUGCCUGAUGGAGGGGGAUAACUACUGGAAACGGUAGCUAAUACCGCAUACCAUCGGAUGUGCCCAGAUGGGAUUAGCUUGUAGGUGGGGUAACGGCUCACCUAGGCGACGAUCCCUAGCUGGUCUGAGAGGAUGACCAGCCACACUGGUACUGAGACACGGUCCAGACUCCUACGGGAGGCAGCAGUGGGGAAUAUGGCGCAAUGGGCGAAAGCCUGAUGCAGCCAUGCCGCGUGUAUGAAGAAGGCCUUCGGGUUGUAAAGUACUUUCAGCGGGGAGGCGUUACCCGCAGAAGAAGCACCGGCUAACUCCGUGCCAGCAGCCGCGGUAAUUC